CCUCUUAGCGGGACAACAUCUGGAAACGGAUGCUAAUACCGGAUAUUAUGGUUUUUUCGCAUGGAGGAAUCAUGAAAGCUAGAUGCGCUAAGAGAGAGCUUUGCGUCCCAUUAGCUAGUUGGUGAGGUAACGGCCCACCAAGGCAAUGAUGGGUAGCCGGCCUGAGAGGGUGAACGGCCACAAGGGGACUGAGACACGGCCCUUACUCCUACGGGAGGCAGCAGUGGGGAAUAUUGGACAAUGGACCAAGUCUGAUCCAGCAAUUCUGUGUGCACGAUGACGUUUUUCGGAAUGUAAAUGCUUUGUGGGAAAAGUGACGGUCACAAAAAGCGAGCUAAAUACGUGCCAGCAGCCGCGGUAAUACGUAUUAGCGUUUCCGGAUUUAUUGGGGUAAAGCUGGCGGCAAGGAAAUUAUGUGAAAAUGCGGAGAUCCGUAUGGCGUUGGAAACUGCCUUACUAGAGUACUGGAGAGGUAGGCGGAACUACAAGUGUAGAGGUGAAAUUCGUAGAUAUUUGUAGGGAAUGCCGAUGGGGAAGCCAGCCUAUGGACAGAUACUGACGCUAAAGCGCGAAAGCGUGGGUAGCAAACAGGAUUAGAUACCCUGGUAGUCCCACGCUGUAAACGAUGAUUACUAGGUGUUGGGGGUCAAACCUCAGCGCCCAAGCUAACGCGAUAAGUAAUCCCCUGGGGAGUACGUACCAAGUAUGAAACUCAAAGGAAUUGACGGGGACCCCCAAGCGGUGGAUGUUAUUCACACGAGGAACUUACCGUUUUCCUAGACAACGCCGGUGCCCUUUCGGGGGAACGUAGUGACGGGGUGGCUGUCGCAGCUCGUCGUGAUGUUGGUUAAUCCCAGAGCGACCCUAGUAUGUUACCAUCCUUCAGUUGGGGACUCAUGCGAUACUGCCUGCGACGAGCAGGAGGAAGGUGGGGAUGACGUCAAGUCAUCAUGCCCCUUAUACGCUGGGCUACACACGUGCUACAAUGGGUAGUACAGAGAGCGCAAACCCGCGAGGGGGAGCAAAUCUCAGAAAACUAUUCUUAGUUCGGAUUGUACUCUGCAACUCGAGUACAUGAAGUUGGAAUCGCUAGUAAUCGCAAAUCAGCAAUGUUGCGGUGAAUACGUUCUCGGGUCUUGUACACACCGCCCGUCACACCACGAGAGUUGGUUG
rnacentral:rRNA from 1 species